rnacentral:rRNA from 1 species
CAGUGUGUUUCGACACACUAUCAUUAACUGAAUCCAUAGGUUAAUGAGGCGAACCGGGGGAACUGAAACAUCUAAGUACCCCGAGGAAAAGAAAUCAACCGAGAUUCCCCCAGUAGCGGCGAGCGAACGGGGAGCAGCCCAGAGCCUGAAUCAGUGUGUGUGUUAGUGGAAGCGUCUGGAAAGGCGCGCGAUACAGGGUGACAGCCCCGUACACAAAAAUGCACAUACUGUGAGCUCGAUGAGUAGGGCGGGACACGUGGUAUCCUGUCUGAAUAUGGGGGGACCAUCCUCCAAGGCUAAAUACUCCUGACUGACCGAUAGUGAACCAGUACCGUGAGGGAAAGGCGAAAAGAACCCCGGC